AUUGAACGCUGGCGGCAGGCCUAACACAUGCAAGUCGAACGGAUCCUUCGGGAUUAGUGGCGGACGGGUGAGUAACACGUGAGAACGUGCCCUUUGGUUCGGAACAACUCAGGGAAACUUGAGCUAAUACCGGAUGUGCCCUUCGGGGGAAAGAUUUAUCGCCAUUGGAGCGGCCCGCGUCUGAUUAGCUAGUUGGUGAGGUAAAGGCUCACCAAGGCGACGAUCAGUAGCUGGUCUGAGAGGAUGAUCAGCCACAUUGGGACUGAGACACGGCCCAAACUCCUACGGGAGGCAGCAGUGGGGAAUCUUGCGCAAUGGGCGAAAGCCUGACGCAGCCAUGCCGCGUGAAUGAUGAAGGUCUUAGGAUUGUAAAAUUCUUUCACCGGGGACGAUAAUGACGGUACCCGGAGAAGAAGCCCCGGCUAACUUCGUGCCAGCCGCCGCAGUAACAC
rnacentral:rRNA from 1 species